GAGUGUGCUGGCUUUUUGGAGUGGGGGCCUGAGACAGACUGUGGGUGGAGGCAGGAAAGCCAAGGUCCCAGGCAAAGGAUGCACAGACUUGUGGACUGUCAGGAGGCUGCACAGAUACAGGACAGCAAUUCUGCCUCCAUGACAGACAGCUGGAGGUGCAGCUGGAGCCGUGCCUGCCCUGUGGUGUCCCACUGCUCAGGGGUGCGUGGCGUCCUUGGGACCGAGGGGAGCACGGCAGAUCUGGAGCAGUGCAGGAGGGAAUCGAGCCUCCUGCUCAACUCCUCCAUGUGGAGGAAACUUUCAAGGCUCUGAGGUCAUUUUUUUUAUGUCAGUGUGCAGAUGUGUGUGUAUGUUUUUUCUUCUGAAACCUCAGCCAUCUGGGAGACACUUUCAAUAU